rnacentral:lncRNA from 1 species
GUAAGCAAAAUCUUCAUAUUUCCAACAAAGAGCUGAUCUCUCUCUAUAACCUUCCAUAAUCCCAGGAAGGACAUAAUGCUGUAUGCGAUCGCCACAUCACAGAUUGUCACUGCUCUCCUUAAGGUGGCCACCGCUUCUCCAUCAUGAUCCCUCAGGUGUCCGGGAAAGAUUCAGUGUUGUCGAAGUACCAUGUGUCCCUGGGCACCAUUUUGCUUCAACUUGUGCCCCUAAAUACACCUGGCUUCAAAAAACCCCUUCCUGCCCACCACUAUCUUCUCUUCUCCUGGAACGAGUCUUUGAAAUACAUUCCCCAAAUAGGGGUACAAGCUCCAAGUGAUGCUUUGAUAACUCCUGACAAAUAAGUUUUCCAAAAGACUAGUGUCGACGAAAAUAAUUCAUAACCAAUCUAUAAAUGAAAAUUUGGGAGAGUUUAUUCUGAGCUAAAAUCUGAGGACCAUGGCCUGGGGCCUUUCUUCCCGAAUAAGAAAGUGCACCAAAGAAGUGAGGUAUACAGAGUGGUUAUAUACCCCCAAGCAGGACGUUUCACAUAGGAUUGAAAUGUCCCUCCCACAAUAGUCACAAGAUUGCCCUGUUGGCACAGCGCUCGAUGGACGCAGCAGGUAGUGGUCUGCUAUCUCGGCAGGCGCAGCAGGAGGCAAGUCUAUUGUCUUGACCUGGGUGGCCACAGGGGCCUGUUAUCACUAAGACACUGCAGUGAAGAAUUGCAACACCGAGGCCAUUCCUUGAUUAUGGAACCUAGUUAGGGAGUCAAGACUCCAACAUGAGGAAUGUUAGAUAAGCACGCAGGAAUGAAGUCGAAGAUAACAGAGCAAGACAAAGACUGAUCGUGUGUGGGCCCUGCGUGGUCUGGGUGCAGGAGGGCAGGUCAUGGUGGGUAGGCCACGGUGGGCUGCGGAGAGAAGUCCUCUGAGAGUCCGAUUUGAAGGAUGGCCAUGGGAUGGGGUGGUGCGGGGGAGCAUCCAAGAGGGAGGCCCGUGAUCUAGGCCUGGAGCCGGGAAGGGGUCUGCAUGCUCAGUGGCCAAAAAGGAGCCCCUUGAGGCCAGAAUAGAAAGAAAACAUCUGCAAGUCCUGGGAGGGUAUGUUAGGGCCAGAAUUUUGAGGACCUUGAAAGCCAGGCAGGGGCGUCCAUGCUGGGAAAAAGAGGAUGAAGACCUCAGAAAGUAAUGCAGCAGAUAAGAGAAGUUCAUGGGGAGAUCAGCCUGGGGGCAGCCCUCAGAA